rnacentral:rRNA from 1 species
GAUGAACGCUAGUGGCAGGCUUAACACAUGCAAGUCGAACGAGAAUCCCUUCGGGGAGGAAAGUGGCGCACGGGUGCGUAACACGUGGAUGACCUACCCCUUGGUUCGGGACAACAGCGGGAAACUGCUGCUAAUACCGGAUGUGUCGUAGCAAUACGAGAAAGGCCCGCAAGGGUCGCCAGAGGACGGGUCCGCGUCCCAUCAGCUAGUUGGUGAGGUAAUGGCUCACCAAGGCGAAGACGGGUAGCUGGUCUGAGAGGAUGAUCAGCCACACUGGAACUGAGACACGGUCCAGACUCCUACGGGAGGCAGCAGUGGGGAAUAUUGCGCAAUGGGCGAAAGCCGGACGCAGCCACGCCGCGUGAGCGAUGAAGGUCUUCGGAUCGUAAAGCUCUGUGGGGGGAGAAGAAGAAAGCCGGUGAAGAGCCGGCCCUGACGGUAUCCCCUUAGCAAGCACCGGCUAACUCCGUGCCAGCCGCCGCCGUAAGAC